rnacentral:lncRNA from 1 species
UCAGCAUAAGCCGAAGAAAAUGAGCGCGUUGGAAAAAUCAAUGCUUUGUUAUUUGCAACAACGUCAUGAAGAAGCUGUUGCCGUGGGUCAGGAACCUCCUUUUGGUGGUCGUUAUGCUUCACCCUCAGUCCCGGGUGUUUCACGUCCACUUAGUACUACCAUUUCAAGCGGCACAAAUAAACCUAAGGAUGAGGCUGGGUCAGCGGAACCUUCGUCUUCA